rnacentral:tRNA from 1 species
GCCGAAGUGGCGGAACUGGUAGACGCACGGGUCUCAAAAACCCGCGAGAUUAUUCUCAUGUCGGUUCGAUCCCGACCUUCGGCACCA